rnacentral:misc_RNA from 1 species
GAUGAAGAACGUAGCGAAAUGCGAUAAGUAAUGUGAAUUGCAGAAUUCAGUGAAUCAUCGAAUCUUUGAACGCACAUUGCGCCCCCUGGUAUUCCGGGGGGCAUGCCUGUCCGAGCGUCAUUACAACCCUCAAGCUCUGCUUGGUGUUGGGCCCCGCCGCCCCGGCGGGCCCUAAAGUCAGUGGCGGUGCCAUCCGGCUCCGAGCGUAGUAAUUCUUCUCGCUAUGGAGUCCUGGUGGAUGCUUGCCAUCAACCCCCAAUUUUUCUAUGGUUGACCUCGGAUCAGGUAGGGAUACCCGCUGAACUUAAGCAUAUCAAUAAGCGGAGGA